GAUGAACGCUGGCGGCGUGCCUAAUACAUGCAAGUCGAGCGAACAGACGAGAAGCUUGCUCCUCUGACGUUAGCGGCGGACGGGUGAGUAACACGUGGAUAACCUACCUAUAAGACUGGGAUAACUUCGGGAAACCGGAGCUAAUACCGGAUAAUAUAUUGAACCGCAUGGUUCAAUAGUGAAAGACGGUUUUGCUGUCACUUAUAGAUGGAUCCGCGCCGCAUUAGCUAGUUGGUAAGAUAACGGCUUACCAAGGCAACGAUGCGUAGCCGACCUGAGAGGGUGAUCGGCCACACUGGAACUGAGACACGGUCCAGACUCCUACGGGAGGCAGCAGUAGGGAAUCUUCCGCAAUGGGCGAAAGCUUGACGGAGCAACGCCGCGUGAGUGAUGAAGGUCUUCGGAUCGUAAAACUCUGUUAUUAGGGAAGAACAAAUGUGUAAGUAACUAUGCACGUCUUGACGGUACCUAAUCAGAAAGCCACGGCUAACUACGUG
rnacentral:rRNA from 1 species